rnacentral:tRNA from 1 species
GCGGGCGUGGCGGAACUGGCAGACGCGCAAGAUUCAGGUUCUUGUGCUCGUUAGGGCAUGCAGGUUCAAUUCCUGUCGCCCGCACCA